GCACCCAUAUCUAUCGGUCCGAUGCGUUGGUACUGGCAAGAGAGCGAUGACACAUGGAAUCUAUUCACACCUGAAUCUCUUCAACAAACCCUUGAGACAAAAUACAAUGCUAAGCAGCGCAUAUACCUGUUUUCACGAGAGAACUACAAAUGGAGCUACUCUGUUGACUUUGAUCUCAUGACUCAGACAAAUUUGAAUACUGGACAAAUUAGAAAACUCAAACGCUGCAGUGAAACA